AACGAACGCUGGCGGCAUGCCUAACACAUGCAAGUCGAACGGGAUCCUGGCUUCGGUCAGGUGAGAGUGGCGGACGGGUGAGUAACGCGUGGGAACCUGCCCAGUGGUGGGGGAUAACUGCGGGAAACUGCAGCUAAUACCGCAUGAGCCCGAGAGGGGAAAGAUUUAUCGCCAUUGGAGGGGCCCGCGUUCGAUUAGGUAGUUGGUGAGGUAACGGCUCACCAAGCCGACGAUCGAUAGCUGGUCUGAGAGGAUGAUCAGCCACACUGGGACUGAGACACGGCCCAGACUCCUACGGGAGGCAGCAGUGGGGAAUAUUGGACAAUGGGCGAAAGCCUGAUCCAGCAAUGCCGCGUGAAUGAAGAAGGCCUCGG
rnacentral:rRNA from 1 species